CAAAUAUAGUCGGGGAGCCUUUAGGCUGAGAUCGCAAAGCGAGACCCGUUGAACCUGAUGCAGUUAAUACUGACGUAGGGAACUAUAUGUGUAUUCAC
rnacentral:ncRNA from 2 species